rnacentral:rRNA from 1 species
UACGUAGGGAGCAAGCGUUGUCCGGAAUUACUGGGCGUAAAGGGCGCGUAGGCGGAUAAUUAAGUCAGGUGUGAAAACUCUAGGCUCAACCUGGAGACUGCACUUGAAACUGGUUAUCUUGAGGGCAGGAGAGGAAAGUGGAAUUCCUAGUGUAGCGGUGAAAUGCGUAGAUAUUAGGAGGAACACCAGUGGCGAAGGCGACUUUCUGGACUGUACCUGACGCUGAGGCGCGAAAGCGUGGGGAGCGAAC